rnacentral:rRNA from 1 species
CCUACGGGAGGCAGCAGUGGGGGAUAUUGCACAAUGGGGGAAACCCUGAUGCAGCGACGCCGCGUGAGUGAAGAAGUAUUUCGGUAUGUAAAGCUCUAUUAGCAGGGAAGAAAAUGACAGUACCUGACCAAGAAGCCCCGUCUAACUACGUGCCAGCAGCCGCGGUAAUAAGUAGGGGGCAGGAGUUCUCCGGAUUUACUGGGUGUAAAGGUGGCGUAUACGGUUAUGUAAGUCUGGAGUGAAAGCCCGGGGCCCAACCCCCGGCCUGCUUUGGACACUGUGUAACUGGAGUACAGGAGGGGCAGGCGGAAUGCCUGGUGUAGCGGGGAAAUGCGUAGAUAUCAGGAAGAACACCGGCGGCGAAGGCGGCCUACUGGACUGAAACUGACGUUGAGGCUCGAAAGCGUGGGGAGCAAACAGGAUUAGAUACCCCUGUAGUC